ACUGUUUAUCAAAAACAUAUUUUCAUAAAGUCGUAAGAUCAUGUAUAUGGAUCGAUGCCUACCCAAUGCCUAAAGGUCAAGAAAGUUAGUGGCCUAAUGAUAAAGAAGUCAUCAAUCGAAACUCCAAUGAACGAUGAUGAUAAAUAAUUAUAGCAAUCAUAAGGUAGCGAAAUUUCUUGUCGGAUAAGUUUACACCCGCAAUACACAUAA
rnacentral:rRNA from 1 species